rnacentral:rRNA from 1 species
UACGUAGGUGGCAAGCGUUAUCCGGAUUUACUGGGUGUAAAGGGAGCGUAGACGGAAUAGCAAGUCUGAUGUGAAAACCCGGGGCUCAACUCCGGGAGUGCAUUGGAAACUGUUGAUCUAGAGUGUCGGAGAGGCAAGCGGAAUUCCUAGUGUAGCGGUGAAAUGCGUAGAUAUUAGGAGGAACACCAGUGGCGAAGGCGGCUUGCUGGACGAUGACUGACGUUGAGGCUCGAAAGCGUGGGGAGCAAACAGG